GAUGAACGCUGGCGGCGUGCUUAAUACAUGCAAGUCGAACGGAGACGUUAUAGCAAUAUGAUGUCUUAGUGGCGAACGGGUGAGUAACGCGUUGGUGACCUGCCCCGAAGCGGGGGAUAACAGCUCGAAAGGGCUGCUAAUACCCCAUGUGGCCGCAAAGGUUAGAGGCUUUGCGAUUAAAGGAGUAAUCCGCUUUGGGAGGGGCCUGCGUCCCAUCAGCUAGUUGGUAGGGUAAAAGCCUACCAAGGCUACGACGGGUAGGGGACCUGAGAGGGUGGCCCCCCACACUGGCACUGAAAAACGGGCCAGACACCUACGGGUGGCAGCAGUAGGGAAUAUUGCACAAUGGGCGAAGGCCUGAUGCAGCAACGCCGCGUGCGCGAUGAAGGCCUUCGGGUCGUAAAGCGCUUUUCGGGGAGAUGAGGAAGGACAGUAUCCCCGGAAUAAGGUUCGGCUAACCACGUGCCAGCCGCCGCCGUAAGAC
rnacentral:rRNA from 1 species